UUUCCGUAGGUGAACCUGCGCAAGGAUCAUUAGUGAAUUGAAUAUGUUAGCGGACCUCUUCGGAGUCCCUAGCAUCAAAUCAUAUCCAUAACACCUGUGAACUGUAAGGCGGUCUUGAAAACGAAAGUGAUUAGAGCGCCUGCCCAUUUUAUACAAACAUUAAGGUAACAAACGUGGUGUUAUAAUAAUCAAAAAAAACUUUCAACAACGGAUCUCUUGGCACUAGAAUCGAUGAAGAAC
rnacentral:misc_RNA from 1 species